AUUGAACGCUGGCGGCAUGCCUUACACAUGCAAGUCGAACGGUAACAGGUUAAGCUGACGCGUGGCGAACGGGUGAGUAAUACAUCGGAACGUGCCCAGUAGUGGGGGAUAGCCCGGCGAAAGCCGGAUUAAUACCGCAUACGACCUAAGGGUGAAAGGGGGGGAUCGCAAGACCUCUCGCUAUUGGAGCGGCCGAUGUCAGAUUAGCUAGUUGGUGGGGUAAAAGCUCACCAAGGCGACGAUCUGUAGCUGGUCUGAGAGGACGACCAGCCACACUGGGACUGAGACACGGCCCAGACUCCUACGGGAGGCAGCAAUGGGGAAUUUUGGACAAUGGGCGCAAGCCUGAUCCAGCCAUGCCGCGUGCGGGAAGAAGGCCUUCGGGUUGUAAACCGCUUUUGUCAGGGAAGAAAUCCUUUGGGUUAAUACCUCGGGGGGAUGACGGUACCUGAAGAAUAAGCACCGGCUAACUACGUG
rnacentral:rRNA from 1 species